GAUGAACGCUGGCGGCGUGCCUAAUACAUGCAAGUCGAGCGAACAGACGAGGAGCUUGCUCCUCUGACGUUAGCGGCGGACGGGUGAGUAACACGUGGAUAACCUACCUAUAAGACUGGGAUAACUUCGGGAAACCGGCGCUAAUCCCGUAUAAUAUAUUGAACCGCAUGGUUCAAUAGUGAAAGACGGUUUUGCUGUCACUUAUAGAUGGAUCCGCGCCGCAUUAGCUAGUUGGUAAGGUAACGGCUUACCAAGGCAACGAUGCGUAGCCGACCGGAGAGGGUGAUAGGCCACACUGGAACUGGGACACGGUCCAGACUCCUACGGGAGGCAGCAGUAGGGAAUCUUCCGCAAUGGGCGGAAACCUGGCGGAGCAAGGCCGCGUGAGUGAUGAAGGUCUUCGGAUCGUAAAGCUCUGUUAUUAGGGAAGAACAAAUGUGGAAGUAACUAUGCACGUAUUGACGGUACCUAAUCAGAAAGCCACGGCUAACUACGUG
rnacentral:rRNA from 1 species